GUGGGAUGUCUCUCUCUCCCCCACUCUCUGUUUCCCUUUCUUUUUUUGUCCCCUCUCUCCAGGGCUCCUGAUUUCUCUUCAGCCUGACGCUCUUUUCAGUUAACGGCAAGGCGGUGCACCCAAGUCCGGUGGUGUCCUACCUGGUGACCUCCUACCUGUGCUGGGACGCCAGCGACUUGAUGCUGCACUCCGGAGCCGUGUCCUACCUAAGCCCAGUGGGCAUGUGAAGCAGAGGGCAGCCCUUGAAUGCGCGGCGGCUGAGCUACCGCGGGUGGGCCGUGCAGCAGGGCGCAGCGAGGCGGACAUCCAAACAGCGGAACUCAGACGCUGACUCCGAGCGCACCCCGGGCCUUCCCAUUUCAUACACCCUCGAGGAUGAGACCCAAGCACCUCCAAGGAAUAGCACCCGAGGUCUUCAGGACACCGACCGGUAGCCAUGGCCAGAUGCCCGGCCAACCCCUUCAGCGUGGCCACGCCCUGGAUAUUCGACCUCCCCUGAGGCCCCACCCCCUGAUAUCAGGCCACGCCCUCCGAGGGGACCGGUGGCAAACUCCAGCCCUCGCUCUAGGGCCCGCCCUUUGCGGCUUUGUCCCUGCCCACUGGGUCCUCACAGUACCUCCACCCCAGAGGCCCAGCAUCCCCUCCCGUUCUGCAGACACUUGUCCAGCGUCCCGCUGAGCUCGGCAGUGUGGCUAGUUUGUGUGGCCCUGCCCCUGGUGCCCAGCCAGGGUGGUCUGCAUGGAACUUCUUUCCCGGAGUUCCGGCCUCAGCUCCGAUGUCCACCCUUGUCCCCAGGUGGACACAGCACCGCCCAGCAUUUGGUGCAACUCCACCCUUCUGCAGAACGGGCCCCUCCCUGGGAAGGCAUGGCUUGCAAUAACAUCCCUCUGUACCUUUUCUGGCUUCCCCGCCACAAUAAAACCUCUCAGCCUCAGAAAAAAAAAAAAAAAAAA
rnacentral:lncRNA from 1 species